GACUGGAUAGGAAGAAAUAAGGCAUCUUAUUUCUUUUAAAAGACCUAGUAAUAGGUAUACUUUAGGAGGGGCUUGCGCCAUAUUAGUUAGUUGGUAGGGUAAUGGCCUACCAAGACGAUGAUGUGUAGCUGGACUGAGAGGUUGAACAGCCACAUUGGGACUGAGACACGGCCCAAACUCCUACGGGAGGCAGCAGUAAGGAAUUUUCGGCAAUGGAGGAAACUCUGACCGAGCAACGCCGCGUGAACGACGAAGUACUUUGGUAUGUAAAGUUCUUUUAUCAAGGAAGAAAAGCAAGUGGCGAACCAUUUGUUUGCCGGUACUUGAUGAAUAAGCCCCGGCUAAUUAUGUGCCAGCAGCCGCGGUAAGACAUAAGGGGCAAGUGUUAUCCGGAAUUAUUGGGCGUAAAGGGUGCGUAGGCGGUCUAGUAAGUCAGUGGUGUAAUGGCAACGCUCAACGUUGUCCGGCUAUUGAAACUGCUAAACUUGAGUUAGAUAGAGGCGAGUGGAAUUCCAUGUGUAGCGGUAAAAUGCGUAAAUAUAUGGAGGAACACCAGAGGCGUAGGCGGCUCGCUGGGUCUUAACUGACGCUGAGGCACGAAAGCGUGGGGAGCAAACAGGAUUAGAUACCCUGGUAGUCCACGCCGUAAACGAUGAGUACUAAGUGUCGGGUUAAACCGGUACUGAAGUUAACACAUUAAGUACUCCGCCUGAGUAGUACGUACGCAAGUAUGAAACUUAAAGGAAUUGACGGGACUCCGCACAAGCGGUGGAUCAUGUUGUUUAAUUCGAAGAUACCCGAAAAACCUUACCAGGUCUUGACAUGUUUUUGCGAAACGGUAGUAAUAUCGUAGAGGUUAUCAGAAACACAGGUGGUGCAUGGUUGUCGUCAGCUCGUGUCGUGAGAUGUUAGGUUAAGUCCUAAAACGAGCGAAACCCUUAUCGUUAGUUGCCAGCACGUUAUGGUGGGGACUUUAACGAGACUGCCAGUGAUAAACUGGAGGAAGGUGAGGAUCACGUCAAAUCAGCAUGCCCCUUAUGACCUGGGCUACAAACGUGAUACAAUGGCUGUUACAAAGGGUAGCUGAAACGUAAGUUCUUGGCCAAUCCCCAAAAACAGUCUCAGUCCGGAUUGAAGUCUGCAACUCGACUUCAUGAAGUUGGAAUCCCUAGUAAUCCCGAAUCCACCUGUCCGGGUGAAAACCUUUGACAGGUUGUACACACCGCCCGUCAAACCACGAAAGU
rnacentral:rRNA from 1 species